rnacentral:misc_RNA from 1 species
GAUGAAGAACGUAGUGAAAUGCGAUAAGUAAUGUGAAUUGCAGAAUUCAGUGAAUCAUCGAAUCUUUGAACGCACAUUGCGCCCCUUGGUAUUCCGAGGGGCAUGCCUGUUCGAGCGUCAUUAUAACCCCUCAAGCUCAGCUUGGUGUUGGGGCCUGCUGCACUGGCAUCCCUUAAAAUCAGUGGCGGCGCCAUCUGGCUCUAAGCGUAGUAAUUCUUCUCGCUAUGGAGUCCUGGUGGAUGCUUGCCAUCAACCCCCAAUUUUUCUAUGGUUGACCUCGGAUCAGGUAGGGAUACCCGCUGAACUUAAGCAUAUCAAUAAGCGGAGGA